rnacentral:rRNA from 1 species
AACGACUCUUGACAACGGAUAUCUCAGCUCUCGCAUCGAUAAAGAAUAUAGUGAAAUGCGAUACUUGGUGUGAAUUGCAGAAUCUCGAGAACCAUCGAGUCUUUGAACACAAGGUGCACCCGAAGACUUCUGGCCGAGGGCACAUCUACCUGGGUGUCACUC